UUCCAUUACCACACCAAUCCGGUGCAAUUUCUUUUUUUGACCUUGAAGAUAGUGCCUGGUGCCUGGAGACUCUCGGCUCCUGCAAUCUUCACUGAGACAACUGCAAAUGAUAAACCCUUCUUGGUGUCAAAAUGUAGUGUGGAUGACCCUCAACUGCUAAAACUGGAGCUGAAAAACAGCUGCAUUGCACUGCAGCCUCAAAGCUUCAUACAGCCAGCUGUAAGCUUUAGAAUUCAAAUGGAUAUACAGGAUUAUGCAGAGGAACAACAUACCACUGUAUAUGAAUGAAAGCUAUGGGAAAAAGCAUCUAUUUGUUGAGACAAAGAAGACCAACAUUCUCACUAUUCAAGGAAGAAUUCAAGACAUUUUUAAAAACCACAAUAGACAAUCCAUUUUAAUAAGGUAUUAAUCAAUUGCAUGGAGGGUAAUCUUUGUGACUGGAUCUCAUCUCUUUUGUGUGAAGUUGGAGGAGGAGGAAGAGAAACGGGUCUACUGCAUCUGUGCCAUCACUCCCAUUGCCUCAAAAUCCCUCCAGGUUCCCUUUACAAGUCUAAGACUGCACACAUGGGGAAGGAAGUAUGUGGGGAGACAGUUACCCCACCUGAGAAGACCACAGAGAUUUCACAGGAGAGGCAGUAUAGCCUGAAGCUAUGGACUUUUUCUGCCGUUGUCUUUUGUGUGGUGCAACCUCCAAAGGAAGAAGUAGUAGAAAACCAUAAUGUGGCUUCGCUGGAGUUGCCUGACCAGGAACAGAAAGAAAGCCACAAGGAGAUUUGGUGCUAAUCAUGGAGAAACUGCACUGCAUGCUUUAUAUCCAGGGAGUCAUCAUAGAGAAAUCAAUGUCAUUGAUUAUCAUGCUGAAGCCAAAGGUAGGAACAAGGAAAAUGCCUGCAAUAAACUAAAGUACCCUGAGCUGCUGUUGGAAAUGAUGCUCUCAGUAUGUUUUUCCAUCUAAUGCAAUAACCAAACAAUGUUGUUAAGGGUGUGGGAAAGUAUUUCUUGAGCAAGUAUUGUUCUUGAAGAAUAGUUGAUCUCAACUCAGUUAUUGCCAGUAAAGAAUUUUCUUAGCCACCAGGACCAGCUAACUCAACAAAGACACCUCUACAUCAAAUUGAAUUAAAUGAGCCAGAUACUUUAGUACAGUAUUCUUUUCAAGGUUCUGUUUUGCUCUUGACUGGCUGGCCAAGUGAGCAAAGAUACUUUAUUUAAAAAUAUAAGAAAAGCUCAUUGCAAUGAGAGAAGCUGUGUAAGUUAACCCAAGAUACUGAGAUGCAAUUGAAUACUCUUCACAGACACUGGAGAAGAUAGUGUUGAUAAUAAAGCCUUGGCUAUAUGCACAGCACAGAGAUAGAAAAGUUUAGCAGAUUCAGCAAUCUUGGCUUUGUUCAUUCAUAAGUUCUACUUGUAAACCUAAAAGGAGUCUAUAAAAAAACUUAUGACAUUUAUGGCUUAUCAGUCAAAUGCCCCUGAUAAAAUAUUGCUAGCCAAGCAGCAAAAAUCAGCAUGAUUACUCAACAAAGCUUAGAAACCCAAAACAUCCUGAACAUUUCAAUA